AGCUCCGUGGUGUUUAACAUAUCAGAUUGCAAAUCUGAAGACGCAGGCGAGAGCCUGCCGGGGCUU
rnacentral:tRNA from 1 species